UUGCUUCAAUAGCAUAUGUACUAAAAUUGGAAUGAAACAAACAAUUAGCAUAGCCCCUGUACAAGGACAGCAUGCAAUAAGUGAAGUGUUCUAUAUUUUU
rnacentral:snRNA from 1 species